rnacentral:rRNA from 1 species
UACGUAGGGUCCGAGCGUUGUCCGGAAUUACUGGGCGUAAAGAGCUCGUAGGUGGUUUGUCGCGUUGUCCGUGAAAACUCACAGCUCAACUGUGGGCGUGCGGGCGAUACGGGCAGACUGGAGUACUGCAGGGGAGACUGGAAUUCCUGGUGUAGCGGUGGAAUGCGCAGAUAUCAGGAGGAACACCCGGUGGCGAAAGGCGGGGUCUCCUGGGCCGAUGACUGAC